CCUACGGGAGGCAGCAGUGGGGAAUAUUGCGCAAUGGGCGAAAGCCUGACGCAGCGACGCCGCGUGAGGGAUGAAGGUCUUCGGAUCGUAAACCUCUGUCAGCAGGGAAGAACGGUCACUGUGCUAAUCAGCAGUGAAUUGACGGUACCUGCAAAGGAAGCACCGGCUAACUCCGUGCCAGCAGCCGCGGUAAUCCGGAGGGUGCGAGCGUUAAUCGGAAUUACUGGGCGUAAAGCGCUCGUAGGCGGUAUGUCAAGUCAAGGGUGAAAUCCCCGCGCUCAACGUGGGAACUGCCUUUGAAACUGGCAAACUGGAGUGUGGGAGAGGAUAGUGGAAUUCCAGGUGUAGGAGUGAAAGCCGUAGAUAUCUGGAGGAACAUCAGUGGCGAAGGCGACUAUCUGGCACAUAACUGACGCUGAGGAGCGAAAGCGUGGGUAGCAAACAGGAUUAGAUACCCUUGUAGUC
rnacentral:rRNA from 1 species